AGAGCUUAUGAUUACAGCACCAAUGCAAACAAACAGUCAGUGGGGUUCUCAAAUGAACAUGAAUUGCUCAGUGUACGAACCCACACCUCGUUCGAUUGCCCAACCCCCUCCUGUUAGUAGACCGCUGCAGAGAGGAAGCUGGCAGACAGGAAGCACCUCCAGCACUUCUAGUAGUAGCAGUCACAGAUUGAGCAUUCAGAGCACCGUCAGCAACAGCAGUGAGGUGGAAGGUGAAUGUGAGGAGCCUCCGGACAUUCCACUUCCUCCACGGCCUACCCGGCCCGUAGUGGAUACUCCACCAGUGCUCCCUCCACCCAGGGUCCCACCACGUGUAAUAGAGAGGAAUCCAGACAUACUAAACGAGCGAUAUGUAUCGACUCCAUCCCGUCCUGUUCAUCAGACGCCUGCGCAAAGGUCCAUGCCACCUCCACCUAUACCGAGACGCACAUGGUGAAGGCCUGCUUCAGCAUGGCUGGCUUUCGUUCUGUUUGACUCUGCACUUUUCUUGUUGAGCCUUUGAGAUCUGUAAGUCUCUUCAAGGUGGAACAGAAACUACUGGCUGUGUCCGAAACUGAAGACGGCUCAUUUCCUCCCCUACACUGUAAAAAAAAUUCUGUAGUUUUUACAAAAUAAUUUUGGCAGCUGUGGUUGCCAGAAUAAUUUUGUAAAAAAUACAGAAAAACUGUAAACACAUUUACGGCCAAAAACUGUAAAUUUCACAGUAAAAAACUGUAAUUUACAAACAAGAAAAUUUGAAUGUAAACCAGUAAAUUCAACAAUGCACACUGCUAUUAAAAUCUGUUUUGUACCUUUAACAUACUGACAACCACCAUAAUAAUGCAGGUGGUAAAAGAGAAAGCCACAUGAAGAAUCAAAGCUCAUCACAAGUAGCUUCGCCACAAGCAGAAGUAUAUACUAAUAUAUAGAAGGUGCACAGAGUCAUUCAUGCAAACACAAAACACCAUCAUGGUAACACACAUGAUACUUAAAUAAUGCAUUAAACUUUCAUUAAACAACAGAAGAUGUAACAUAAAGCCCAAAUAUACAUAACUAAUAACAAAAACUAUUAAAAAAACAUGAUUAUUUAAACAAAAUACCUUAAAAUGUGGAGUGUCAUGCAGGGAAUUCGGGGUAUAUCAGUUUACAGUUUUUGACUGUAAAUUAUACAUUGAUUUGUUAUUUUUCCUUCUAAAAACUGUCAAAUUAAC
rnacentral:lncRNA from 1 species